CUUCGUGUAUUUCCUUUGAACGUUCUAGUAGAAGGAAAGUAUUGAUCGUGUCAGCGAACAUAAAUACUCCCACUUAAUUUUCUGAUUGAUUUCGGGAAUGGCGACUCACUGUACGUAUCAAGGAUGUAAAUAUCACGAUUUGGGAGCCAAUAUUGUCGUCUUUUAAGCUAAUUUUCAGGCCUCCUUCCCUACUCACGACUAAAAGAGCGAACGAAUGGAUGAACCUACCUUUGCCAUUUUGCCAGGCGGUGUACCAGGACAAGCUGAGGAAAGACGUGAAGAAAAUUAUCGCAGUGGCCACAGUUCCAUUUCUGAGCCUCAUCUCAUUUCAGCGAAGGCUCGCAUGUGUCGUCGCCGUCCUCCGUGACUCGACCCCCGAGCGUACCCCAGUACUUGCGACAAGACCAGACGAAAAACGUGCGAACGGUUGGUUCAAAGCGCUGUCUUCCGCUUCAUAGAGUGCUUUUACAUGAUGUAUUAAAGACGGAGGGGUGGGAGAGUUAGCUGCCGGUGCGGUCCAUUUCUCCGAGGGGGGGGCGGCCCCGUCAGUGAGAGUCACAAGCAGGAAGAAGCAUUUCGGUUUCUUCUUGAUGUAGGUAAGCCCGCAGGCGACGCCUCGGUACCGUUCCGGCGAGCAACAGAUGAGAUAACCCGUAAACGAGCUCCACUACUGCCGUACAAGUACAGGCUGAGGAAGUACACAGCAGGUAUUUUAGUAGGGGGUUGCUUUAAAGUACUCCUCCAGCGGAAUGAGUGACGUGCCUCCGAUCCAGUCCUGUAGCCACACUUGGAUCAGCUCCAGCUUCAUGAAGAACCACUUGUGUCCCACAGGCCACUUUGCCAUCACAGGAUGCCUAGAAGUGACACAGUGACAUUUCAAAAUAAAAUAAGUUGUACAAAUUAGUUGUCCUGAUCAUAUUUUUGUACCCGAGUACCGAGCCGAUAACUCGGCAAUUUGUUAGUUUAUAUGAUAAUUUAUUGGUAAACAUAUGUUUGCUUCUAUUGGGUUUAGGGUUGUUAGGGGUGGGAACCUCUGGCUACCUCACGAUAAGAUUAGCGAUACAAGGCUCACGUUAACGAUGAUCUCACAAUAUGGCGUUACAAGAAUUAUCGAUAAAUCAUACUUGGUGCGCACCAGAAAGUUUAUCGGCCACGAACCGCAGGUGCUAAAAAUGAUCAUACAGGAUUUAGUUGAGCUUGACUUCAAUCUUGGACUCAGCUAUAAAGCAUUACUUGUACAUCGUCACCAUUACGUUGUCUCAGAAGGACAUUUAAAAUCCAUUUUGAAGUCUUGCAGUCUACUGUGGUAUGAAAAAGUAUCUGAAUAUUUUGGAAUUUGUCACAUUUUGCAUUAAAUAACCUUCAAAUGUGAGCUGAUCUUUGUCAAAAUCACACAGAUGAAAAAAACAGUGUCUGCUUUAACUAAAAUGGUAAAUGGUGUUAUACUUAUAUAGCGCUUUUCCACCUUUCAAGCAACCCGAACAUUUACAGGUUUUCAUAUUUUAAUGAGGAUAUUAUGCAAACAAUGACAGAAUGGGGGAAAAAUAAGUAUGUGAACUAUCACAUUCAAUAUUUUGUGCCCCCCCCUCCCUUUGGCAGCAAUAACUUCAACCAGACGCUUCCUGUAGCUGCAGAUCAGUCUGACACAUUGAUCAGGACUAAUUCUUCUCUACAAAACUGCUGUAGUUUAGUCAGAUUCCUGGGAUGUCUGGCAUGAAUCGCUGUCUUUAGGUCAUUCCACAGCAUCUCAAUGGGGUUCAAGACUGGACAUUGACUUGUUCACCCCAGAACGUGUAUUUUGUUCUUCUGAAACCAUUCUGAAGUUGAUUUACUUCUGUGUUUUGGAUCAUUGUCCUGUUAGAGCAUCCGUCCUCUUUUCAUCCUGAUAAACUUUUGAAUUCACUCUUCCAUUAAUGAUUGCAAGUUGUCCAGGCCCUGAGGCAGCAAAACAGCCCCAAAUCAUGAUGCUCCCGCCACCAUGCUUCAGUUGGAAUGAGGUGUUGAUGUUGGUGAGCUGUUCCAUUUUUCCUCCACACAUGACGUGAGCAACUCCCAAACAAUUCAACUUUGGUUUCAUUAGUCCACAAAAUAUUUUGCCAAAACUUAUGUGGAGUGUACAAGUGCCUUUUUGCGAACAUUAAACGAGCAACAAUGUUUUUUUUAGACAGCAGUGGCUUUCUCCGUGGAGUCUUCCCAUGAACACCAUUCUUGGCCAUAGUUUUACAUAUAGUUGAUGUGUGCCCAGAGGUAUUUGACUGUGCCAGUGAUUUCUGUAAGUCUUUAGCAGACACUCUAUGGUUCUUUUUUACCUCUCUGAGUAUUUUGCGCUGAACUCUUUGCGUCUUCUUUGGUGGACUGUGCCAAACUCUCCAUUUGUAGACAAAUUUUCUGACUGUUGAUUGAUGAAUAUCUGGACUUUUAGAGAUGGUUUUGUAUCCUUUCCCAGCUUUGUACAAAUCAACAAUCCUUGACCGCAGGUCAUCAGACAGCUCUUUUGACCGAGCCAUGAUGCACAUCAGACAAUGCUUUUCAUCAAGACAAUUCUUACCAGGUGCGUGUUUUAUAGUGUGCAGGGCAGCUUUAAACCACUCAUUAGUGAUUGUGCACACAUCUGACUUAAAUUGUUUGGUAAAAAUUGGUUUCAAUUGCGCUUUAGGUCUCCUUAGGCAGAGAGUUCACUUAAUUGUAUUACCCCUUUAUGUCAUUGUUUGCAUUCUAACCUCAUUAAAAUAUGAAAACCUAUAAAUAUUUGGGUGGUUUUAGUUUACCUGGAACUCCAGACUCACCACUGUCCCAGCGAUAGUCUGGCGACCGUUCCGCGGAUGAAAUUUCCAGGGCGGAGCAAACAGGCAGCGGAGUGGACCAAUCAGCGACAGGCAGGCGUGACGUUGGUAAAGCGACAAGAAACUUUAGUGCGUUGAAAUAAACAUACGAGGAAAUCGGAGAAGUUUAUUCAACAUGGCUAGCGCGAGACAGACUGUUGGUUUUAGCGACUCUAUGUGUUUUUGGUCAUUUAAAACUGAAUUUACCGUGGAUUGGAACAUAUUCUCGGCUCUAUCGUUCACCAUCUGUGUUGUUGUGGAGACGACUUCGAUGCGCAAGAGUGAUGUUGCUCGUUAAGAACACAUCACACAAAUAAACGAAUCUGAGUGGACGGAUGAUUUUGUUCUGGCUCGAGAGGCCAAGAAGGAGCUGGGUCCCAGACUCUUCUCACGGUGUUUGAAAAAUGCAGGGAGAACAGUCUGGUCAUGCCACGCAAGGUUUUAGUUAAAGCGGACUGUUUUUUCAUCUGUGUGAUUUUGACAAAGAUCACAUUUGAUGGUGAUUUUAUGCAGAAAGUAUGAGAAAUUCCAAAAGGUUCAGAUACUUUUUCAUUCCACUGUAUCUGUGCCCCAUUAUUGUAUUAAGUCUAGAGAUGCCCCUGUUUGUAAGUGGGCUUUAUUUAUGGUUACCUGGAAAACAUGGCCUCUUUGGCGAAGGCGAGCUCUUCUGGGCCGACCGCCAUCAUUUUGCCAGUUAGCGUGAGACGCGCACAUCUGGGGUCUUCUGGAUCAUACACCAUUUGUCUGCAAAACAACGUACAAGCUAAUGAGAGCCAAAGCAAGAGCUGGAAUAUUGCUUGUGGUCAAAUUAAAUGCCAGUGAUCAUUCACUUCAAAGGAACAGUCAUUCAACGUUAGUUAUUCUGGUGGUACAUCCAUCCAGCUAUUCAUUUUCAAUACUGCUUUUCACUGUUGGAGUAUAGUUGCUAAAACUGCAAGAGCAUCAACUUUUAAAAAAUGCUGAAUUUCAACAAAUCACUGUGCAUGCUUGCCUGCAGAAAUCCCUCUCAGCCUCUGAGAAAGUGAUGGAAGCGUAGGGGUUCAUUUUCAGGUCGGACACAGUAUUAUCCAUGGGUGUCACAUAAAAGUAGAUGACCCCUGUGCUGUUGUCCAUUGGUCCAUCACUGAUGGAGAAAAUGUUCCCAAAAGGAAGACCCUUAAUCUAUAAAAACACACAUAGAUAAAUGUAAAGAAGUGCCAUUAUUACACUGAAUGGAAAUAGAGUUGAUACAGCCGAUAAAAUUCUUUUAAAAUGAUUUCGGAUAAUAUCAACAGCGGUUUUGGUCCAAUAUGCAUGUUACCUUCAUCAUGAAUGUAGAAGUCUUCUGCAUUUGUACAAGGGCUGGUCACAACUUAGCACAGCAGUUAUGCUUCUUGAAAUAGUAGUGCAAUAUAGUAGGGCUGCAGCUAUCGAAUAUUUUAGUAAUCGAGUAAUCGACUGAAAAUUCUAUCGAUUAAUUGAGUAAUCGGAUAAAACAAAUAUAUUUUCAGGUGAAGAGCAAUUAUAGAUAUACAUGAGAAAACAAGACAUUUUAUCAUUUUCAGUCAAUCAAUGUCUUUAUUUUUGAUGUAUAUUGUUGAAAACAGCCAACAAUUGCAUCUCAGAUGUAACUAGAAUUUUAGAAAAUGACUAAUUCACUGCUUUCACUCAAAAAACCUUUAGAUCUUAUUUUAAAAAAGUAUAUACAUAUAUAUUAUAUAUAUAAACACACCUAAAAAUGCCUUUACGCUUGAUAACACACAUCACUUAAAAGUUAGGAUUUUUUCCCUCGUUUUUCAAUUGAAUUUCUAUUUGUGUCAAGCCAUUUUUAAGUUCUAGUUAAGUUUUAAGUUAGUCUAAACUGUCAGUCCUGAUAGGAUUUUGAGUUUUUCACUGUUCAAAAUAAAUGUAUGAUACAGGCUGUAUUGGAGCACAUUAGGGACUAGUCCUACUUGGUGUUUCAUCCAGCAAUGACUACUGAGCUAAAAUUGAUAGUUAGCAUUAUUGAGUUUUUAUUUGACACCCUCAUCACUCCACAACGCUAUGUUAUGUUAAAGCCUGUAUGUAAGACACGUUAGCCACGCAUCGAAAGUGGUCUUAAUUAAUUGAAACCUAGCCCUCCGCAGGGCUAACGUAAGGUGAGCUAGUUAAGAUGGCGGCUGUUUGCUAACGCAGCCCAGACGCGGCCUAGUCUGUCAUUGUGCAUCUAUUUCAACAUACAUGUGAUCUCUAUGAGACUCAUUGGACGCUACCUGCAACUAACGUAGCAUGUGCGGGCUAGUAUUUAGCAACGUCGGCGUCGUUUGUAGCGGUUGUCGGCUGCAGUAAGUUAUUUUUUUUUGCUU